rnacentral:rRNA from 1 species
CAUGGAGAGUUUGAUCCUGGCUCAGGACGAACGCUGGCGGCGUGCUUAACACAUGCAAGUCGGACGGUCGGUACUGGAAGGUUCGCUGGAAGGUGCCGAUAGUGGCGGACGGGUGAGUAACGCGUGAGGAC